AGACCGCACCCACACGCCGCCGCAGCCGGAGACAAUCAUCAAUCAAAACACCUGGCAGUGAUUACAGACGACAGAAUAAAGAGCCUCGCCGCAAACUAAUCCUCGUCAGAACGUUGCUUUGCUUGCAUCCCUGUCUCAGCUCCCGCUGGCAUAUUCCCCUGAACCCUGAUUGCCCUCCUGAUUCCCCGACACAUUGCCUGGACUUUGGACGCUCUCUCCUGCACUACGACCACGCUUGCAUCCCAUACUUGCUUGCCUUCUCCCUCUGGAUUUGGACGCCACCAUUCAACACGCAUGACAACACCCCUCACGGUAUCUUCAUAUGUUAAUUCUAGCACAUAGUUUUACAUUCAAACACAUAGUAUCAUACACACCUUACGUAAUCAUAAAUCACUCAAUAAAUACAUUGAGUUUGUA